GACGUAGGGCGCGAGCGUUGUCCGGAUUUAUUGGGCGUAAAGAGCUCGUAGGCGGCUUGUCGCGUCGACUGUGAAAACCCGCGGCUCAACCGUGUGGUCUGCAGUCGAUACGGGCAGGCUAGAGUUCGGUAGGGGAGACUGGAAUUCCUGGUGUAGCGGUGAAAUGCGUAGAUAUCAGGAAGAACACCCGGUGGCGAAGGCGGGUCUC
rnacentral:rRNA from 1 species